CUUUGCCGCCGUCUUGCGGCAUCAGUAGACAGCUGUCGGCCUCCCUCGUAGAUUGGCGCUAAUCCCCGUCUCCAUGAUAUUUAAUAUUCCAACAGUCAAAUGAAUGCAACAAAUCCGAUUUUAGGAUUUAUUGCCCGUCCACGUAUGUCGGCGCGCGGUUCCCGUUUUGUCGCCGGCGCUGAUCAGCGGGUCCAAAGCGCGCUAUUAAUAGCCGCCGUCGGCAGCAAACGGCGCCGCCAGAUGCCGCAGACGCUAGUAUGUAAUUUGCCUCGCUGGGAAUUCUUCAGAGGCUUCCGAACGUUACUCGAACGCUCCCGUCAGAUUUUGUUGUUGGGUUAACUUCAUAUUUUUUGAUACUUUUGCAUGCGUUUGCUUACUGAGCUCUUUUUCAAUAUACGUGUCCAUCUUAAGGUCUACACUAGUACGCUCCUUGUCCUUACUAGUAAAUUGAGGCAAAGCUGGACUAGUUGACAACUUCGUUAAGAAUGUCUACUAGUUAACAUUUUACGAGGGACACGAGUACUGCAAUGAAGUUACCUCACUAGUAAGCUGUCCUAUAAUUGCAAAGGAAAAACAUGACAAAAUAUAGUUGUUCUUCCAUCCAUCCAUUUUCUUAGCCGCUUAUCCUCACAAAGUGCUGAAUUGUUGCAUUAGUGACGGCAGAGCGCGUACUAGUAUAUGAAUUUUUUUUUUUUUUCUAUCAAGCAUUUGUAAUAAGAGUCUUCCUGAUCACGUGACUGACGUCAGGUGAAAGGUCGCUGGCGGGUCGCCGUGUUCCGCUUAACGAGCUUAUUGGCGGAAGCCACGCCCCCGGGUCAGUCACGUGACUUGGCCGAGACGAGAGCGCAGCAGAUUUAAAGCAACACCCAAAAAUAAAUAAAUAAAUAAAUCUGUCUGAGCUCUGAUCGGGAACAUUUGUCAGCACAGGAUUGAUAACGGCGGCGCCGGCAGACGUAAACACAAAGCAGACGCGCAGAUUGAGGGCCGUCGUGUCCUUCGAGGUCGUCGGCUGGAAAAUGUGACGCCCGAAAGGGGCUUCGAGGCGGUCGGUGCUUGAAAAUCGGCCACCGUGUGGAGAGUUUGGCUUAGGGAGAAGGUCAAGCGCGCGUGGCAACAAAAAGCUGGAAGCGGUUCGUCAAGUUGAAGUCAGUCGGUCGGUCGCCUCCCGUUUUCUGCACAGCAGCACGUGGACACGGGCACGCCGACGGCCAACACGAUCCACACGACGUCCAUGCGGCUCAGGCAGACGGCGACUCGGGACGACGGCGUCGAGUCCGGGGCGGGACCGGAGCUGCCGUUGGCCCCCCGGGGGUCGUGCGUGG